rnacentral:ncRNA from 1 species
GAGAGCUUUUUGCAAGGAAACUUGCAAGUACAGUUUGGAGGGAGGUAGGUUGGCCUCAGUAGUUUGUGUGCAGGAAAUUUUUCUGCACAUUUACUAUUCUCAA